rnacentral:rRNA from 1 species
UACGGGGGGAGCAAGCGUUGUUCGGAUUUACUGGGCGUAAAGGGCGCGUAGGCGGCCACUGCAAGUCAGUUGUGAAAUCUCCGGGCUUAACCCGGAAAGGUCAACUGAUACUGCAGGGCUAGAGUGCAGAAGGGGCAACUGGAAUUCUCGGUGUAGCGGUGAAAUGCGUAGAUAUUGGGAAGAACACCGGUGGCGAAGGCGGCUCACUGGCUCGUAUCUGACGCUCAGGCGCGACAGCGUGGGGAUCAAACAGG